rnacentral:misc_RNA from 1 species
GAUGAAAGAACGUAGCGAAAUGCGAUAAGUAAUGUGAAUUGCAGAAUUCAGUGAAUCAUCGAAUCUUUGAACGCAUCUUGCGCUCCUUGGUAUUCUGAGGAGCAUGCCUGUUUGAGUGUCAUUAAAUUCUCAACUACACUGACUUUGAAUUGGUGUGGCUUGGAUUUGGGGGGAAAAUUGUUGUGGGCUUUUUGUAUAGUCUGCUCCCCUGAAAUUGAUUAGCGGUACCUUUGUGGAACUGUCUACAGGUGUGAUAAUUAUCUACAUCUUAGACAUCUGCUGGAAUGCUGCUUUCUAAACCUUACUUGUAUUGACAAUCUUGACCUCAAAUCAGGUAGGACUACCCGCUGAACUUAAGCAUAUCAAUAAGCGGAGGA